UACGUAGGGGGCAAGCGUUGUCCGGAAUCAUUGGGCGUAAAGAGCGUGUAGGCGGCUCGGUAAGUCCGCUCUGAAAGCCCGGGGCUCAACCCCGGGAGGCGGGCGGAUACACUGUCGGGCUAGAGGUCCGGAAGAGGCGAGUGGAAUUCCUGGGUGUAGCGGUGAAAAUGCGCAGAUAUCAGGAGGAACACCAAUGGCGAAGGCAGCUCGCUGGGACGGUACUGACGCUGGAGACGCGAAAGCGUGGGGAGCAAACAGGAUUAGAAACCCGAGGU
rnacentral:rRNA from 1 species